UGCGCUCCCAGUCAGUAGCAGGCUGCGCGUGAGAGGGGCAGGACGCUGCUACUUUCUAAGUCCCCUCUGAUAUAUGUAGAGGACACUUUUGUUGCAUAAUUGAUCUGCGAGCUCGUCGGAUGUUACGCACGCAGCCGUAGAAGUGACUUAGAUAAGAUUUGGAAAAGGACGAGAUGGGAUCCCGCGGUAUGACUGAAUGGAGUUGUGAAUGAGCAAGAAAAUGUUGUCAGCGCUGGGCCAAAACGUUGCAUUAGCCUGCGUUGAAGAAAGACUGCCAGUAAACAGGAUGAGGAGCGACUGUCAGCCCGCAGAUGGAAACAAGGGUGGGUGGCUGGAAGGCUGGAUAAAGGCUGGUGGAUGACUGAACCCGCCGACCUGGUGCAGCUCAUCAUCAUUGCCGGGGGGCCUCUCGUCUUCUUCCUCGUCUCCCGUGGCUCGUACCUCCAUCCAGGGGUCUAGCAGAGCCCAGCGAAGCCCAGCCGGGGAGCUAGUGAGUGGGCUGGAGAGGAUGGAGAAGGUCCCCGAAGGCAAGAAUCACCUCUGGAGCUAUCAGCGUGCAAGAGAAAUCGAUAUAAAACACAGAAUCUUCACAGCUUUGAGUGGGGUUUCCUGUGUUUUUAAGUGCGUGGCCUGGAGGCCCUGCAGACCUGCUGAGGACAUCCCCUGCACGUCUCUCUCAGCUGCAGCCCCAGCUCCUUCUCUGGACCUCAGCCCUGAUCUCCACUGGCUGUGUGUGGUUCUGCUGAAGGGUGUUUCUCCCCCAAAUGAUACCCACCGUUUUGAAAGACUGCUGUGAGGCAUGUUCCUUUCUCUCUUUUUUUUCCCCCCAUCACGAGAUUGACAUAUCCCACCACCUUCUGCCUCUGGCAACCAGCUUGGAAGUUCUGCCUUUGACUCACUCACCAUCUUCGGCUCAUCCACUGCUUAUUCCCCAACCAGUUUUCACAUUUGACAAACAGACACUGCGAUCUUUAUUUUCCACCUCCACUCCUGGCUUGCAGUUUGAAUGAUGAGCUCCAGACAGAUGUCUUUCAAAAGUAGACACACUGGAAAAUGAAGCAUGAACCUUUUUUUUUUUUUCCCCAUCAUGCCUAUUAUUCGAUUUCAGACUGUUCAUAUUAUUAACUGACUGGCAAGCAAAGAGGACUGAAGAUCAGAGGGCACAGAGACCCUUCAGUGGAGACAGUAAAAUG